AUUUUGAACAAUUGCUUGCUAUUUCUGAUGGCCCCUAGAUUCCCCUUGCAAAGAAGCAACCUUCCACACUUCCCAUCCUGCGCCCUUCCUCACUUAAAGCUUCUCAGCAACUUGGAAAACCAGUCUUCCUUCUUGGUAUUGCCCAUGACCCCUAGGAAUCUAGAUGUUUCCCCUGCUGGGAAGGAGCUUACAAACAAUAGUUUGUGAUGAAAUGCAAUUUUCUCUUGAAAGCAAUUAGUGCCUGCUAAUUUCUUUGCACACAGUUGCUUUCAAGAGUAAAUUCCAAGCUCCAUACAACAUCCCAUAAACCAUAUCAAAAGAGGUCUUUCUCCUUAUGCAUUUUCUUUUUAAACAGGUUCAGACUUUAGCCUCGAAGUAGUGAAGGAUCCCAAAGUACAAACUCCUUCCUCAUUGUAGAUAUGAAGGUUUACAGAUGAAGUUCCAGAUUUGAAUGCAACUUAUGUUGUUGAUGGACUAGUCAGUGAUGCUACCAGCAAACUCUAUGCUGCCAUUUCCAGAACACAUGGAAAUUGAAGCCAUGUGGGGCUUAACAAGAGAUCAAAUAGUGCCUUAAACGUCCCAGGGCAGCAGCCGUGUCCCUAGAGUCUGGGCGGCCCCUGUGAUGGGGGCCUGCCCCGCCUGGUGCUCUGGGCCCCUCUCCUCCCAGACUGCUGCAGGAAGGCUGGAGCAGGGAAGAUACUGGGCUGUGCAAUCUGAUGGUGAACCAGUUAUCAAGGGAAUAAGAAUCUGCGGCAACAGACACCCAAACAAGAGAAAUCCAAAGGACAGAAAAGCAGCAUUUGAGAUUUGCAGAGGACUCUGCUGAUAAGUGCUUUCUGAGGCUACAAAGCAGAUCCCACAGUGGGACAUGGAAAUGCUGGCUGCUCCGAGGUUAGCUUGAACCGAGGAGAGGGACUCGGCUGGAAUACAGACAUGCCUCAGGCUGUGUCUCAGGCGCCGGGCUUCCAGCUCCGACAACAUAGACUGUCAACGCAGCUCUGCUGUGAGUGGAACUGGACACUCGGUGAUGGCCAAAAACAACAGUUGACUAAAAUAAUGAAGCAACAUGUGGAUGGUGAUGGAGGUGGAGAAAAAUAGAGCCGGAUGGGCCCUCUGGAAAUCAUCUUGAACCCUCUUCCUUUCUUUCACAGGUAAGGACACUGAGACCUGCAGCUCAUGUUGUGACUACAAUAACGAUGAGACAUCAUUCUUACCAUGAGUGCAUUUGCCUCCUCUGGGGUCACAGCAUUCUGAAUGUCCUCAGUGAUUCUUUUUGUGUCACAGUGACCCUCUGGACACAAGACUAGCCAAAUGGACACUUGGGGGUCCUGUUGUGGAGAGGGACUAUGUUGUCACAGUGGAAGGAGCACUGGAUAAUCCAUCUGGAGAUCUGGUCUGAGGCCUGGCUCGGAUUUAUGUACUGGGUGACAUUUAUCUCCUCAUCUGUUUUCCUCACUGCAAAAUGUGAGAUGUAGGUAGCUAAAGCAAUGUGUGUUAAAAGACUGAAAAUCAGGGUUCCUGGGUGGCUCAGUGGUUGAGUGUUUACCUUUGGCUCAGGUCGUGAUCCCAGGGUCCCAGGAUUGAGUCCCACAUCAGGCUCCCCUGGAGAACCUGCUUCUCCCUCUGCCUAUGUCUCUGCCUCUCUCUGUGUGUCUCUCAUGAAUAAAUAAAUAAAGUCUUUAAAAAAAGACUCUGAA
ensembl:lncRNA